UCCUACGGGAGGCAGCAGUGGGGAAUUUUCCGCAAUGGGCGAAAGCCUGACGGAGCAAUACCGCGUGAGGGAAGACGGCCUAUGGGUUGUAAACCUCUUUUUUCAGGGAGGAAUUUUGACGUGUACCUGAAGAAUAAGCAUCGGCUAACUCCGUGCCAGCAGCCGCGGUAAGACGGAGGAUGCAAGUGUUAUCCGGAAUCACUGGGCGUAAAGCGUCUGUAGGUGGUUUAAUAAGUCAACUGUUAAAUCUUGAGGCUCAACUUCAAAAUCGCAGUCGAAACUAUUAGACUAGAGUAUAGUAGAGGUAAAGGGAAUUUCCAGUGGAGCGGUGAAAUGCGUAGAUAUUGGAAAGAACACCGAUGGCGAAAGCACUUUACUGGGCUAUUACUAACACUCAGAGACGAAAGCUAGGGUAGCAAAUGGGAUUAGAUGCCCCAGUAGUCCUAGCCGUAAACUAUGGAUACUAGAUGUUGAACAGAUCGACCUGUGCAGUAUCAAAGCUAACGCGUUAAGUAUCCCGCCUGGGAAGUAUGCUCGCAAGAGUGAAACUCAAAGGAAUUGACGGA
rnacentral:rRNA from 1 species